CAUUUCAAGCCACUUGAUACAUUCAAUAUGAGUCUUAUCUAUCUUGACACGAGCUUGAUUAAUUAGUGUCAGCCAAGCUUGCUCCAUCACACUGUUUUACAUGUAUGUGACAUUUCAAGUCCUUCAUAACUCAAUAUUAACGAUGUAUUACACGUGAGCACACAAAGACAUUUUGUUUGACAAAAUAUUGUAUUUCAUGGUUCAACUUCAA
rnacentral:lncRNA from 1 species